GUUAAGCGACUAAGCGUACACGGUGGAUGCCCUGGCAGUCAGAGGCGAUGAAGGACGUGCUAAUCUGCGAUAAGCGUCGGUAAGGUGAUAUGAACCGUUAUAACCGGCGAUUUCCGAAUGGGGAAACCCAGUGUGUUUCGACACACUAUCAUUAACUGAAUCCAUAGGUUAAUGAGGCGAACCGGGGGAACUGAAACAUCUAAGUACCCCGAGGAAAAGAAAUCAACCGAGAUUCCCCCAGUAGCGGCGAGCGAACGGGGAGCAGCCCAGAGCCUGAAUCAGUGUGUGUGUUAGUGGAAGCGUCUGGAAAGGCGCGCGAUACAGGGUGACAGCCCCGUACACAAAAAUGCACAUGCUGUGAGCUCGAUGAGUAGGGCGGGACACGUGGUAUCCUGUCUGAAUAUGGGGGGACCAUCCUCCAAGGCUAAAUACUCCUGACUGACCGAUAGUGAACCAGUACCGUGAGGGAAAGGCGAAAAGAACCCCGGCGAGGGGAGUGAAAAAGAACCUGAAACCGUGUACGUACAAGCAGUGGGAGCACGCUUAGGCGUGUGACUGCGUACCUUUUGUAUAAUGGGUCAGCGACUUAUAUUCUGUAGCAAGGUUAACCGAAUAGGGGAGCCGAAGGGAAACCGAGUCUUAACUGGGCGUUAAGUUGCAGGGUAUAGACCCGAAACCCGGUGAUCUAGCCAUGGGCAGGUUGAAGGUUGGGUAACACUAACUGGAGGACCGAACCGACUAAUGUUGAAAAAUUAGCGGAUGACUUGUGGCUGGGGGUGAAAGGCCAAUCAAACCGGGAGAUAGCUGGUUCUCCCCGAAAGCUAUUUAGGUAGCGCCUCGUGAAUUCAUCUCCGGGGGUAGAGCACUGUUUCGGCAAGGGGGUCAUCCCGACUUACCAACCCGAUGCAAACUGCGAAUACCGGAGAAUGUUAUCACGGGAGACACACGGCGGGUGCUAACGUCCGUCGUGAAGAGGGAAACAACCCAGACCGCCAGCUAAGGUCCCAAAGUCAUGGUUAAGUGGGAAACGAUGUGGGAAGGCCCAGACAGCCAGGAUGUUGGCUUAGAAGCAGCCAUCAUUUAAAGAAAGCGUAAUAGCUCACUGGUCGAGUCGGCCUGCGCGGAAGAUGUAACGGGGCUAAACCAUGCACCGAAGCUGCGGCAGCGACGCUUAUGCGUUGUUGGGUAGGGGAGCGUUCUGUAAGCCUGCGAAGGUGUGCUGUGAGGCAUGCUGGAGGUAUCAGAAGUGCGAAUGCUGACAUAAGUAACGAUAAAGCGGGUGAAAAGCCCGCUCGCCGGAAGACCAAGGGUUCCUGUCCAACGUUAAUCGGGGCAGGGUGAGUCGACCCCUAAGGCGAGGCCGAAAGGCGUAGUCGAUGGGAAACAGGUUAAUAUUCCUGUACUUGGUGUUACUGCGAAGGGGGGACGGAGAAGGCUAUGUUGGCCGGGCGACGGUUGUCCCGGUUUAAGCGUGUAGGCUGGUUUUCCAGGCAAAUCCGGAAAAUCAAGGCUGAGGCGUGAUGACGAGGCACUACGGUGCUGAAGCAACAAAUGCCCUGCUUCCAGGAAAAGCCUCUAAGCAUCAGGUAACAUCAAAUCGUACCCCAAACCGACACAGGUGGUCAGGUAGAGAAUACCAAGGCGCUUGAGAGAACUCGGGUGAAGGAACUAGGCAAAAUGGUGCCGUAACUUCGGGAGAAGGCACGCUGAUAUGUAGGUGAAGUCCCUCGCGGAUGGAGCUGAAAUCAGUCGAAGAUACCAGCUGGCUGCAACUGUUUAUUAAAAACACAGCACUGUGCAAACACGAAAGUGGACGUAUACGGUGUGACGCCUGCCCGGUGCCGGAAGGUUAAUUGAUGGGGUCAGCGCAAGCGAAGCUCUUGAUCGAAGCCCCGGUAAACGGCGGCCGUAACUAUAACGGUCCUAAGGUAGCGAAAUUCCUUGUCGGGUAAGUUCCGACCUGCACGAAUGGCGUAAUGAUGGCCAGGCUGUCUCCACCCGAGACUCAGUGAAAUUGAACUCGCUGUGAAGAUGCAGUGUACCCGCGGCAAGACGGAAAGACCCCGUGAACCUUUACUAUAGCUUGACACUGAACAUUGAGCCUUGAUG
rnacentral:rRNA from 1 species